rnacentral:tRNA from 1 species
UUGUAGCCUCGCCCAGGCAGGACUGUCCUGCCACUACCAAGUA